AAAAAAUACACAGAUUGUCGUGUGAAGAAAAACAAUUCUCGCUUCAGAGCUUCCCAGCCUUUGUUGCACCUUCAUACGCGUAUGUACGCGCUGACAAGCAAAUAAAUACUUGGUGCAAUGCGAGUAGUGCCACACCUAAAAUUUGCGCUGGUUGCCGUACACAACCUUGUCACAGAAUGUUAAGGGUAUAAUCAAAUAAAUGUAUGCGGGUACUACAUACAUAUUUUUUUCAGAUGGCAAAUAAAAUGAGGAGCGUAACCGAUUUUGUAUUUAGCCAACUUAGAGCUGUCAGUGGCGGCCUGCGCAAAGUUCAUGGCUGAUAUCACAAAAUUUUACGCAUGAAAAGAUUGUAAAGCUGCAAUGACUGUCUUAUAGCUAAUCUAGGUACGGCUUUCCCACUACUUGACUUCACCCAAAUCGUGAUUCAAUGAGUAAGCGCACGAUUUACAGUGGCGGGCAUUAGUUUGCGCACAAGAAGAUUUUAGUUUUGAAUAA